UCCGGUAGGGGAACCUGCGGGAGGGGAUCAUUACACAAUAAAAUACGAAGGCCGUUCGCGGCUGGGACUAUUUAUUACCCUUGUCUUUUGCGCACUUGUUGUUUCCUGGGCGGGUUCGCUCGCCACCAGGACCACAAUAUAAACCUUUUUUAUGCAGUUGCAAUCAGCGUCAGUAUAACAAAUGUAAAUCAUUUACAACUUUCAACAACGGAUCUCUUGGUUCUGGCAUCGAUGAAGAACGCAGCGAAAUGCGAUACGUAGUGUGAAUUGCAGAAUUCAGUGAAUCAUCGAAUCUUUGAACGCACAUUGCGCCCUUUGGUAUUCCAAAGGGCAUGCCUGUUCGAGCGUCAUUUGUACCCUCAAGCUUUGCUUGGUGUUGGGCGUUUUUGUCCCCCCCCAAAAAGGGGACUCGCCUUAAAAGGAUUGGCAGCCGGCCUACUGGUUUCGCAGCGCAGCACAUUUUUGCGCUUGCAAUCAGCAAAAGAGGACGGCAAUCCAUCAAGACUCCUUCUCACGUUUGACCUCGGAUCAGGUAGGGAUACCCGCUGAACUUAAGCAUAUCAAUAGCCCG
rnacentral:rRNA from 1 species